CGUAGGUGGCAAGCGUUGUCCGGAUUUACUGGGUGUAAAGGGCGCGUAGGCGGGAUUGCAAGUCAGAUGUGAAAUCCCCGGGCUUAACCCGGGAACUGCAUUUGAAACUGUAGUUCUUGAGUAUCGGAGAGGCAAGCGGAAUUCCUAGUGUAGCGGUGAAAUGCGUAGAUAUUAGGAGGAACACCAGUGGCGAAGGCGGCUUGCUGGACGACAACUGACGCUGAGGCGCGAAAGCGUGGGGAGCAAACAGGAUU
rnacentral:rRNA from 1 species